CAGUCGCCGCGGUAAUACGUAGGGUGCGAGCGUUAAUCGGAAUUACUGGGCGUAAAGCGUGCGCAGGCGGUUUUGUAAGACAGGCGUGAAAUCCCCGGGCUCAACCUGGGAAUGGCGCUUGUGACUGCAAAGCUAGAGUGCGGCAGAGGGGGAUGGAAUUCCGCGUGUAGCAGUGAAAUGCGUAGAUAUGCGGAGGAACACCGAUGGCGAAGGCAAUCCCCUGGGCCUGCACUGACGCUCAUGCACGAAAACGUGGGGAGCAAACAGGAUUAGAUACCCCAGUAGUCCCUGUCUCUUAUAA
rnacentral:rRNA from 1 species